rnacentral:rRNA from 1 species
UACUGCGGAGGUCAUUAGUGAAGCUGUCGAGGGGUUGUUGGUGGCUCUCUGGAGUAUUGUGCACACCCUUCUCACUUUAUCUCCAUCCACCUGUGCACAAAUUGUAGAUCUCAGAUACCUUUCGGCCUCGGUCGGCUUGGAUUGCUGCUCUUGAAUAUUUAGGGCUUCAGUCUGAUUUCUGAGUUCUAUGUCACUCUUACAAACACCUAGUAAAAGCCAUAGAAUGUAUUUUGGUCGUAUGACCUGUAAUAACAAUAAUACAACUUUCAACAACGGAUCUCUUGGCUCUCGCAUCGAUGAAGAACGCAGCGAAAUGCGAUAAGUAAUGUGAAUUGCAGAUUUCAGUGAAUCAUCGAAUCUUUGAACGCACCUUGCGCUCCUUGGCAUUCCGAGGAGCAUGCCUGUUUGAGUGUCAUUAAAUUCUCAACCUCCACUGGAUCUUGCAUUCAGUUGAAGGCUUGGAUGUGAGGGUCUUUGCUGGCUAUCUAACUAGUCGGCUCCCUUUAAAUGCAUUAGCGUUGUCUCAGCCGAUCGAACGCCCCUCGGUAUGAUAAUCUAUCUAUGCCGUGUCGGGGAUCGCGCAUAUGAGAGUCUUACGCUCCUAGCUGUCCUCUCCCUGGACAAACUCAUAUCAUAUCUUGACCUCAAAUCAGGUAGGACUACCCGCUGAACUUAAGCAUAUCAAA